rnacentral:rRNA from 1 species
AACCUGGUUGAUCCUGCCAGUAGUCAUAUGCUUGUCUUAAAGAUUAAGCCAUGCAUGUCUAAGUAUAAAUAGUAUACAGUGAAACUGCGAAUGGCUCAUUAAAACAGUUAUAGUUUAUUCGAUAGUGCACAUUACAUGGAUAACCGUGGUAAUUCUAGAGCUAAUACAUGCGCAAAUACCGGACGCAAGAAUGGUAGCAUUUAUUAGAUUUAACCAUCACAUGGUGAAUCAUAGUAACUUGGCUGACCGCGUGUAAACGUGGUAAAUCGUUCAAGUUUCUGCCCUAUCAGCUUUCGAAGGUAGUGUAUUGGACUACCCUUGCUAUCACGGGUAACGGAGAAUUAGGGUUCGAUUCCGGAGAGGGAGCCUGAGAAACGGCUACCACAUCUAAGGAAGGCAGCAGGCGCGUAAAUUACCCAAUCCCGAUUCGGGGAGGUAGUGACAAGAAAUAACAACCUGGGCGGUUUUCCGUUCCGGGAUUGCAAUGAGAUAAGUCCAAAUCCGUAAACGAUUAACAAUUGGAGGGCAAGUCUGGUGCCAGCAGCCGCGGUAAUUCCAGCUCCAAUAGCGUAUACUUAAGUUGUUGCAGUUAAAAAGCUCGUAGUUGAAAUUCGAGUCUAUUGCUGUCUGGCUUCAGUCAGGCUGCUAAUAGGCUCUCCGUCUACAACCCCUUUCGAGCUCUCACGGGUUUCACUGGGUGAGUAGGCAAUUUACCUUGAAAAAAUUAGAGUGUUCAAAGCAGGCCUUGCUGGAAUACAUUAGCAUGGAAUAAUGGAAUAGGAUUUUUGCCCUUUGUUGGUUUUAGGACAGAAAUAAUGAUUAAUAGGGACAGUGGGUGGUAUUAGUAUUUAAUUGUCAGAGGUGAAAUUCUUGGAUUUAUUAAAGACUAACUUAUGCGAAAGCAUUUACCAAUGAUGUUUUCAUUAAUCAAGAACGAAAGUUAGGGGAUCAAAGACGAUCAGAUACCGUCGUAGUCUUAACUAUAAACUAUACCGACUCGAGAUCGGAAGGGUUAAUAUUUUGGCCCUUUCGGCAUCGUAAGAGAAAUCAAAGUCUUUGGGUUCUGGGGGGAGUAUGGUCGCAAGGCUGAAACUUAAAGGAAUUGACGGAAGGGCACCACCAGGAGUGGAGCCUGCGGCUUAAUUUGACUCAACACGGGGAAACUUACCAGGUCAAAACAUGGAUGGGAUUGACAGAUUGAAAGCUCUUUCUUGAUUCUAUGGGUGGUGGUGCAUGGCCGUUCUUAGUUGGUGGAGUGAUUUGUCUGGUUAAUUCCGAUAACGAACGAGACCUUAACCUGCUAACUAGUUUGCUUCUGAACAAGAGGUAUAACUUCUUAGAGGGACUAUGUGUUUUAAAUACAUGGAAGUUUAAGGCAAUAACAGGUCUGUGAUGCCCCUAGACGUCCUGGGCCGCACGCGCGCUACACUGACAUGUUCAGCGAGCUAUUUUACCUGUCCCGAAAGGGCACGGGAAAUCUUGUUAGGACAUGUCGUGCUGGGGAUAGAUCUUUGCAAUUAUAGAUCUUGAACGAGGAAUUCCUUGUAAGCACAGGUCAUCAGCCUGUGCUGAAUACGUCCCUGCCCUUUGUACACACCGCCCGUCGCUCCUACCGAUUUCGAGUGAUGUGGUGAACUAUCUGGACUGCGGAUGGGCUUGAACCAUUUGCGGGAAGUUUCGUAAACCUUAUCACUUAGAGGAAGGAGAAGUCGUAACAAGGUUUCCGUAGGUGAACCUGCAGAAGGAUCA